rnacentral:rRNA from 1 species
AGCGAACGCUGGCGGCAGGCCUAACACAUGCAAGUCGAACGAACUCUUCGGAGUUAGUGGCGGACGGGUGAGUAACACGUGGGAACGUGCCUUUUGGUUCGGAAUAACUCAGGGAAACUUGUGCUAAUACCGAAUGUGCCCUUCGGGGGAAAGAUUUAUCGCCAUUAGAGCGGCCCGCGUCGGAUUAGCUAGUUGGUGAGGUAACGGCUCACCAAGGCGACGAUCAGUAGCUGGUCUGAGAGGAUGACCAGCCACACUGGGACUGAGACACGGCCCAGACUCCUACGGGAAGCAGCAGUGGGGAAUCUUGCGCAAUGGGCGAAAGCCUGACGCAGCCAUGCCGCGUGAAUGAUGAAGGUCUUAGGAUUGUAAAAUUCUUUCACCGGGGACGAUAAUGACGGUACCCGGAGAAGAAGCCCCGGCUAACUUCGUG